UUUACUGGGCAGACUGCUGGUCCACCAGUUCAGUAACAAGCAGACAGAAAUGGCGCUCAGGGUGGCAUCGCUCGACUACCUCGGCACCGUCGCCUCCAGCUUGCGUAAAGACUCUCUCUCCUGCAAGAUGGACCAAAGAACCAUCGAUCGCAUUCUUAAGGAGGUUCCUGGCAGUGAUGAGGUACAGCAGCUCCAAAAGGCCUUGCUGGACUUCCUGGAUGAAAACAUUGAUGCAGAUCCAUCUUUGUGGU